CCAGUGGAAGAAAAUAAAUAAAUGGUAAUAGAACAACUGCUUAAUUAUUUGGGAGGAAAAUAACAGAUCCCUAUUUCUCACCUUGAAAAAACAUAUUUCAGUAAAUGUAAAAAAAAGAGAAACAAGAACCCAUCAAAGUAUUAGAAGAAAAUAGAAUCAAUACUUUUAUAAUCUUGUGGUGAGAAAAAGCUUUGUGACCUGAUACCACAUGCAGAAACAUUUGAUAGAUUUGAUCGUCUUGUCUGAUUUAUGCUUGGAAUAAACCAGACAUCUGAUUUAAUCCCCACAGUCCUGUGAGGAUGAUAUCACCAUCCUUCUUUCAUACAUAGAAGGGGAUCAGCUUAAGGCCCCUGUGGCAAAACCCAAAGCAGAACCCAGCUGUGCCUGCAGUCAGCCUGUGCUCCUAUCCCACGGUUCCGUCUCCUUCACGAUGAAAACACUGACAAAUAUUUGAAACAUUGAAAUUCAGUGAAAGCCCUUGAAAGGAUGAAUAUAUUUCAUAUGAAGAGAGUUUUAUAAAUCAACAGGAAGAGGACAAACAAUCCAGGGGAUCAAGGGGGCGAGGACUACGAUGAACAGGAGGGUGUGGACAGUCCGUCACCAUAUCUGCCUCAUGGCUUAUGGGACAUGGGUCUUGUUAACAAGGCCUUUUCGCCUCAUGGUAUAAAAAUAGUCUCUGAUAUUUUCUUCUGUACUCUUAUAAUAUUUGUUGUGAUUUAUUUAUUUUUAAUCUGUAUGGAAUCUGUGUGGUGUUUUGGUACGGUCGAGGUAGGGGAUCUAACUUUUUUCCCUUACGUAAAGAUCCAGUUACUUUAAAAUCUUUUAUUGAAUGGUUCAUUCUUUCUUCAUGGAUCUAAAAUACUAUUUUUAUCUGGACUCUAUUCUAUCAAUCUGGUUUUCUUUUCCUGUAUCAGUAUCACGCUACAUACUUAACUGCAGUUGCUCUGUAAGAACGUAUUUUAAUGUCUGCUCUGUGAUCUUCUUUUUCAUACAGUUUGUAGCUAUGCUUGCACAUUUUCUCUACCAAAUGUCAGCUGGCCAGUUUUUGUUUAAAAAACUGUCUUGGGAUUUGAAUGGGAUUGCCUUGACUUUGUAGGUUAAUUUGAAGGGAACUGACAUCUUUACACUAUUCUAGGAAAAUAGUGUCUCACAUCAUGUAUUCGUUUCUUCUUAAUGUCCUUCAGAAGAGCUUUAGUGUUUUCAUCUCAUAGGUCUUACCCAUUCUUUGCUAAGUUUAUUCCUAGGUACUUUAUGCCUUUUUAUUGAUAAUUGUAAAUGGGAUAAUUCUUCCGCUUUUUGAUUAAUUAUUUAUGGAACAUAGGAAAGUCAUUGAGGUUUACAUGUUGAUCUCUUGAUUUUAUAUCUAGCCAUCUUACUGAAUUCUCAUCUUUCUUCCAAUAAAAUUUUAGUUGAUUCUCUUGGGCCUUUUAGUUUGUCUGUAAUUUCAUAUGCAAAUACGUCUUAGUUCUUCCUUUCCACGACUCCAUUUUUUCCCAGUGCAUCAGUUAGGACCUCCUCAACACCAAUGAAUAGCAGCAAUGAUAACAGACAUCCUACUCUUGUCCUUGACUUUAAAACAGUGCUGCUGUUUAGGUUUCUGAUAGACACUUUUCUUUUCCUCCUCCCAAGCAUUUUUAUUAGGAAUUAUCUGUUGAAUGUUAUCUGAGACAGUCAGUAAAACGUAUUACCAGCUGCACACAAGUUAGGUGUUAUUGAAGAGUCAAAGGACUAUUAAACAAAUUCCUGUCCUAGGAAAAGUUAUCAUCUCACUGGGUAGAGAAGACCUAAAAUGCAAAGGAAUGGAUAAAGAUUUGGAGGGAGUGGUUAUUGUGAUGGGUAACUGUGAUCAUGUUUUCUUCCAAAACAGAUUUAUUCUCAUAAAACAGCAGCCAAGGAAGGUAAAGAAGGAAGCUCAAGGGGCUUCUUUGGAUCUCUGCUGCGUCAGAGAUGCUCAAAGGCAAGUGACAGUCAGGAGGGCUUUUUCUGGAGAAGGCGGCCACUUUGGCUUAGGGACAUGUACAGACCUCUCAAUGCCAGACGCAAGAAGAACAUGGCACAGAAGCUACACGACAAGGAUUCUUCUGAUGAAGAUGAGAUUUUCCACAAGGAACUAGGGGAGGCUGGCAAAGCCACAGCAGAGAAGGCUCAGGCCACACAUUCCACUACUGAAGAGCUGGGUGACGAGAGUGAGACGCUAUGUGAGGUUGUCACAGAGUGAACGCCGUCCUGCCUCAGGCCACCUACAAAGUUUACUUUCCGAUACUGGCUUCUCAGCAUUGCUUAUAAAAUACUUGUUUUUCUCAUAUGAAAAUGUAUAAAUCCAUAACCAAUUCUAGCCACGUGGUAAGGAACUAAAACGUAAACAGUUCAAUAUUUAUCUACAGACAACAGGGGCCACGGGCGAGAGAAGCAGGACUGAAGCCAGAGUCCCUCGUGGUAGCCAGGAUUUCCACAAGACACAGUAUGGGCAAAGUAGGGUGAAUGGGGCGUCUUUCCCUCAUUUCCCUGAUACAGUCAGUCUCUGGAAACUGGAGACCGUAUCUUCAAGGGGCUUAGACUAUUAAGUUAAUUAACAGCUUAUUCUGGUGCUCUCUCCCCUGGCUCACCAAAUACCAGUCAUUCACAACGCGCUUGACCCCCUGCCCGUAGAGGAUCAUCUCUUUUUGGCCCCUCCGUAAGGUCUUUGGGGUUGCCAGAGUAUUUGGAUCGCUGAGCCUACCUCCACUGUCGGGCUGAGGCCUGUCUCUCUUCCCAAGAGCUCAAACUCAGACACAAAAUGUGUAGCUGGAAGUAGGGUGUUCCUCAACCUUACAAGCUAGUAGACAAUUCCCAUUGGGUUUUUGUGUUUGUUUUCUUUAAAAAAAAAAAUAGUCCCCCCCCUCAGAGAGCUAGCAGGGAGAUGCUGGAGGGUUAGAGUAAAGAAUGUGUGAGAGCAGUAAUUACCCAGGACUGCCCUGCUCAGGCCUUUAUUUCAGAAAAGUUAUUGGUGGGGGCACUUCCUGUUCACCUGUACCACACUAGCCUCUGCUGACCCCACUGAGGGUCGGAUGCGUGCGGCUGGGCUCUCUCCAGUUCAGCCCAGCACCGCACCUGCCACUGCUUUCCUACCCAGCUCGGAUCAGGGCUGCACGAUUCCAAGAGAUGAUGCAGCACAACGUGCAGAAGACGCAAACAUCCCUCCACUUCUGCAGAGGAGGGCGUUAACCAGUCACAUUUGGGACGUUGGGAGGAGUCGGGGUGCCUGGGUGGCUCCGUCCGUUGAGCAUCCGACUUUGGCUCAGGUCAUGACCUCAUGGUGUGGGAAUUUGAGCCCUGCAUUGGGCUCUCUGCUGUCAGCACAGAGCCCACUUCAGAUCCUCCGUCUCCCUUUCUCUCUGUCCCUCCCCCCAGCUCACACACUGUCUCUCAAAAAUAGAUAAACAUUAAAAAUAAUGAAGUCAUCUCUACUUUCUGAGUAAAUGAAUGACAGAUUUUAGAAAAAAGGACGUCAGAGUCAAAAGACAGUAGUGAAUAAAAGAAAUCCUGAAUGAACAAGGUUUGAUCAUCUCUUUUCUUAAUGUCUGUUUAUUUUGAAAGAGAGCAAGGGGGGAGGGGCAGAGAGAGAGGGAGAGAAAGAGCCCCAAGCGGGCUCCGUGCUCAGUGUGGAACCCGAUGCGAGGGACUCGAUCUUCCGACCGUGAGAUCACAGCCUGAGCUGAAAUCAAGAGUCGGAUGCUUAACCGACUGAGCCACCCAGGCGCCCCUGACAAUCUCUUUACAUGCCCCCAAAUAAAUGCUGGUGGCUUAGCGAUAGGUGAUGGAAUAUGGCACCAACCGCUGGCCACCAACAGAGUCCCCCGAGGGGACAGUAGGACUGGGGCACAGCCCAGCAGGUUUGGCAGGGUUGGUAGGAACGGCUCCAAGCGGAGUGAUUGGCCCAUCAGUGCCUCUUCGGCUCUAUUAGUUUGCUGCUGCUGGGCAAGGACACCUGUUCUCCGGGUGCCUGCUCCCUUUCCCCUAGCGUUUUAGUGAGAAUGGCCCCCAAGUGUCUGUCUCGGUGUGGUGACUUCAGUGAGCCAACAAAUAACUGUGUUGAAAGCACAAGACUAGAGAGUAACAGUAAUCGGAAGCAGCGGCAGCAGCUAGUUCAGUAUUUGCUUACUUGGUGUCAAGGCCUGGGUUGGGCGUGUUGCAGUCUUAAUUUCGCCCAACAGUCCGUGAAAACAUACUUUAUUAUCCCCAUCUGGCAGAUGAGGGGACAGGGCUUAAAGGAUGUAGGUAACCUGUUCAGAUGCCCAAAGCCGCAAAUCCAAAACUGCCAGGUAGGGGUUUAAUCCAGGCCUGUUAACUCCAAAGCCUGCUGACGGUUAUACUGCCCUGCUGCAGGGUGCAGGGGUACAGAGACGUCUAAGCCAUGGUUACCAUCAAAGAAUCAAUAAUUACAACGAUGAGGAUGGUGGCAGCUACUGUUUGUUGAGCACCUGCUUUGAGCCAGGUGCAGUACUAGGCCCUUUAGUCACUCUUAGGUCACAAGGGCAGAAACUCCUCAUGCCAGCUCAAACUCCUUAAUGAGCUGGGUGGAGCCGGGGCUGGUGGUGACUUUUUGAAUAAGAGAGGUGGUCACAGAGACAGAGCUGACGAGAAACCAAGAAGACCCAUCUGUGCAUCGUUGGGCUUCCCGAGGUGUGGGCCGGGAUUCCAGGCAACUCCAUUCUCCUAUUUUGGAAUAUUUCCAUUAGCGCAAAUGUGGUUCAUAAAGUGAAGCUUAGAAAAUGUUGUUUCUAUAACACUACCUCAAAUUUGCACAAUACUUAUGAGUCUCAAAUGCUACCCUGCCAUAUUUCUUUUAAUGUUUUUAAUGUUUAUUUUUGAGAGAAAGAGAGAGCAUGCGGGCAGAGAGAGAGGGAGACACAGAAUGUGAAGCAGGCUCCAGGCUCUGAGCUGUCAGCACAGAGCCCGAUGCGGGGCUCGAACCCAUGAACCACGAGAUUAUGACCCUCUCUGCCACUCCUCCACUCGCACUCUAUGUCUCUGUCUCUUGCUCUCUCCAAAAUAAACAUUUAAAAAAAAUUUUUUUAAACAACAAUAAGCAUUUAUUCCUCAAAAAACAUCUUUUUUAAUGUGUAUUUUGAAGAGAGAACAAGAGAGAGAGUACAAGCAGGGGAGGGGCAGAGAGGGAGACAUAGGAUCUGAAGCAGGCUCCAGGCUCUGAGCUGUCAGCACAGAGCCCAACGCGGGGCCCGAAGCCAUGAAUGGUGAGACCAUGACCUGAGCCAAAGUCAGACGCUCAACCAACUGAGCCACCCAGGCGCCCCAUUCCUCAAAAGUUUUGAGUCAAAAUUUCGGGAAUAGCUUGGGCACUUCUGCCCCUGGGUCUUUGGUGAGAUUCUCAAGAUACCACAGGGCUGCAGUCAUCUGAAGGCUUGACUGAGUCGGAAGGGUCCACUUCCAAGGUGGUUCACUCACUUAACAUGGCUGUCAAGGGGGUUGGAGGGAGGCCUCAGAUCCUUGCCAUAUGAGCCUGCCCACAUGGUGUUUGACUGAAUGUCCUCACAGCAUGAUGGCUGGGUACCUCCAGAGUGAGUGAGCUGAGAAAGAGAGACAGAAAUGACAGAAGGUAGCCUUCCUAUGACCUCACCUCAGAGGGCACAGAGCAGCAUUUAGCAGUGACUUAGUCACUAAAUCCAGUUCACAUUCAAGGGGUGGGAAUUUAGACCCCACCUUUUAAAGAGAGAAGAGUCGGGGUGCCUGGGUGGCUCAGUUGGUUAAGCGUCUGGCUUCAACUCAGGUCACGAUCUCGCGGUCCAUGAGUUCGAGCCCUGCGUCAGGCUCUGGGCUGAUGGCUCAGAGCCUGGAGCCUGCUUCGGAUUCUGUGUCUCCCUCUCUCUCUGCCCCUCCCCCGUUCAUGCUCUGUCUCUGUCUCAAAAAUAAAUAAACGUUAAAAAAAAAUAAAAA